UGGGGAAUAUUGCACAAUGGGCGCAAGCCUGAUGCAGCGACGCCGCGUGAGGGAUGGAGGCCUUCGGGUUGUAAACCUCUUUUAUCGGGGAGCAAGCGAGAGUGAGUUUACCCGUUGAAUAAGCACCGGCUAACUACGUGCCAGCAGCCGCGGUAAUACGUAGGGUGCAAGCGUUAUCCGGAAUUAUUGGGCGUAAAGGGCUCGUAGGCGGUUCGUCGCGUCCGGUGUGAAAGUCCAUCGCUUAACGGUGGAUCCGCGCCGGGUACGGGCGGGCUUGAGUGCGGUAGGGGAGACUGGAAUUCCCGGUGUAACGGUGGAAUGUGUAGAUAUCGGGAAGAACACCAAUGGCGAAGGCAGGUCUCUGGGCCGUUACUGACGCUGAGGAGCGAAAGCGUGGGGAACGAACAGGAUUAGAUACCCUGGUAGUCCACGCCGUAAACGGUGGAUGCUGGAUGUGGGGCCCGUUCCACGGGUUCCGUGUCGGAGCUAACGCGUUAAGCAUCCCGCCUGGGGAGUACGGCCGCAAGGCUAAAACUCAAAGAAAUUGACGGGGGCCCGCACAAGCGGCGGAGCAUGCGGAUUAAUUCGAUGCAACGCGAAGAACCUUACCUGGGCUUGACAUGUUCCCGACGGUCGUAGAGAUACGGCUUCCCUUCGGGGCGGGUUCACAGGUGGUGCAUGGUCGUCGUCAGCUCGUGUCGUGAGAUGUUGGGUUAAGUCCCGCAACGAGCGCAACCCUCGCCCCGUGUUGCCAGCACGUCGCGGUGGGAACUCACGGGGGACCGCCGGGGUCAACUCGGAGGAAGGUGGGGAUGACGUCAGAUCAUCAUGCCCCUUACGUCCAGGGCUUCACGCAUGCUACAAUGGCCGGUACAACGGGAUGCGACCUCGUGAGGGGGAGCGGAUCCCUUAAAACCGGUCUCAGUUCGGAUUGGAGUCUGCAACCCGACUCCAUGAAGGCGGAGUCGCUAGUAAUCGCGGAUCAGCAACGCCGCGGUGAAUGCGUUCCC
rnacentral:rRNA from 1 species